rnacentral:rRNA from 2 species
UGCAGAAUCCCGUGAACCAUCGAGUCUUUGAACGCAAGUUGCGCCCGAAGCCUUCUGGCCAAGGGCACGUCUGCCUGGGUGUCACAC